rnacentral:lncRNA from 1 species
GGACAAUGGGUGUGGGUUCGGACGUGGGUUUAGGGAGCAAGGUCCGGGAAGAGUUUGGGAACGCAACACACAUGGGAAUGUUGAAGAAGACGCUAGCCGAGUUAAGGUGGGGUUUUUGGUGAUUCGACCACGUGAAGAGCUGGUCUAACAGCGGAAUGUCAAUGAGACCAAGUUUGUGGAUCAAUCGUUCAAAGCAUCGUUUAAGUGCUGGUUGAAAGAAAGGAGAAAAUGUGGUUGCCUAUCUUAGCUCGCCACGGUUACACGUUUAUAUGUGGUGAAAACACCAAAGAGAUUUACAUCGAUA